rnacentral:rRNA from 1 species
AUUGAACGCUGGCGGCAUGCCUUACACAUGCAAGUCGAACGGCAGCACGGGGGCAACCCUGGUGGCGAGUGGCGAACGGGUGAGUAAUACAUCGGAACGUGCCCAGUAGUGGGGGAUAGCCCGGCGAAAGCCGGAUUAAUACCGCAUACGACCUACGGGUGAAAGCGGGGGAUCGCAAGACCUCGCGCUAUUGGAGCAGCCGAUGUCAGAUUAGGUUGUUGGUGAGGUAAAGGCUCACCAAGCCGACGAUCUGUAGCUGGUCUGAGAGGACGACCAGCCACACUGGGACUGAGACACGGCCCAGACUCCUACGGGAGGCAGCAGUGGGGAAUUUUGGACAAUGGGGGCAACCCUGAUUCAGCCAUGCCGCGUGCGGGAAGAAGGCCUUCGGGUUGUAAACCGCUUUUGUCAGGGAAGAAAUCUUCUGAGUUAAUACCUCGGGAGGAUGACGGUACCUGAAGAAUAAGCACCGGCUAACUACGUGCCAGCAGCCGCAGUAA